rnacentral:lncRNA from 1 species
CUCUUCCGGGUUGGGCGGCUCUCGCGCGAAAGAGGUAGAGGCAAAAUGGCGGCCAAGCAGGUCGCUAAAUGGGCAGCUCUUCCUACAGUUCUAGCAUGGACUUCUACUCAUGCACUUGACGCAGCCGAAGGAGAACAGAAAUCCCGCCGGGUUAAAGCACAUCAACUUCCCAUUUACAACGCCCCACCUCUGGAAUCACAGUACAUUGACGAAAAACCCGGCCGGCUGCAAACCAGGAUUUCAUCCAUAAGAAAGUCAACAAGUUAUUACCUAAAGAACUGCAAGGUGAGAACAAAAACAGGCUUCUUGAUUUAGGUACAGAAACAAUACAUUU